GUUCUCAUCCGAUGGAGGAGAUCUUGGGUCCGAGUCAUUUUGUGGCGGAAUAAAAAUGUUAUUUGCAUGGAGUUACAUUGCUAAAUGAUAUGGGGAGUGACUGGUCCACACGUAAAACAUGGUGAUGUAACUUUGACAGAGGAGAGCACAAAGAUUUUCGAUCUUCAACACGUUCCGAGCGAAGGCAACUUCUUACUCUUGGUAACUUGGAUCGUCAAAUUUUCUGCUAGCUUGGGGUGGUCUUGUUCACCUUCUACAUGAGAGUCUCUGUGUUGUCCGAUGCCUUAAAUUAGACAUGUCGAGAUAAAAGUUAAAACCACGAUAAUCGGAAAGAUCCAUGUCGUUUCCUCUAUUGUAAGGAUGGAAGCUCUGGCUCGAGUGUUACGCAAUAUUGGUGAACUUGUGGAUCCACAUGCAAAUAUUCACCACGAGCUCAAGUUUAUACAUAACUCGCGUAUUUAUACACCAUCACACACUGUUUCAUCACCCGUCAAGUGUUAUAUAGGAUCUCCUCUGCAUCAAUCAGAAUACAAUAAAGAGGUACCGCGGUCCUUCCACGUUAGGCUAAAUAGAUUUUGCCCGCUCCUUUCCCUGCCUCCUGUACUGUCGAAGUGUGUAACAGUAGAAAAAUUG